rnacentral:rRNA from 1 species
UCGAGAAUUUUUCUCAAUGGGGGAAACCCUGAGGGAGCGACGCCGCGUGGAGGAUGAAGGCUUUCGGGUUGUAAACUCCUGUCAUGCGGGAACAAUUGUCGGGCGUUAACUGCGCGCGGCUUGAUAGUACCGCAAGAGGAAGAGACGGCUAACUCUGUGCCAGCAGCCGCGGUAAUACAGAGGUCUCAAGCGUUGUUCGGAUUCAUUGGGCGUAAAGGGUGCGUAGGUGGUGCCGUAAGUUGGGUGUGAAAUCCCGGAGCUUAACUCCGGAACUGCAUUCAAUACUGCGGUGCUCGAGUACCGGAGAGGAGACUGGAAUUCACGGUGUAGCAGUGAAAUGCGUAGAUAUCGUGAGGAAGGCCAGUGGCGAAGGCGGGUCUCUGGACAGUUACUGACACUGAGGCACGAAGGCCAGGGGAGCAAACGG